rnacentral:lncRNA from 1 species
UUGAAACAAAAACUAUUAUAAUUGCAUAAAUACGAAAUGCAUAAUAACAAAAAGUGUAAGAGAUAAUAAUAAUAAUAUAAUAAGUCCCCCGAAAUACACAAAAAAAACAUCGUCCUCAAAAGAAUCCCAACUAAUUUCACUUCAAAAUACAAUGAAUCAAAAUAUAUGAAUAUCGGUCAUAGAUGAUGACUGUAGACGAUUUAGAAAAUAUACAUCUCUCUAGAUCAACGAGUAGACAAGAGCACAUCCGAAAACCAAGCUUCCAACCAUCGAUCCCAUCUUCUCAACUCCACUCUGCAAUUACACGAAUCAUCCCACAAAUUAAUACCACAGAGGUAAUAGCAACACAAUGCAUUUGGGGUACUAAAAUGUUAUAUAAUACAACUCAAAAGUAUAAUGUAAUGUACAAAAACUCAAUAUAUGUAAUAAUUCAUUUACAAAUAAUUAGGGAUGACAAAAACACCAUAACUCAACGCGAAAACCUGAAACUACAACUUUUGAUUUUUUCUAAAAAAAUUUCUCAGGUUUUGGAUGGUUACGAUAUUAAGGUUAUAAUUGAAAUUAUUAAAUAAUUCAAGUUGUUUUUAAAAAGUUUAUGAUUUAGAUUAGUUUAAAUCCCAAAUCCCAAUUUGUUUCACUAAAGCCAAACAAAAAUGAUCAUUAAUAUAUUGCUAUUAUUAAUAGAUAAUAAUAUUAAUAUUAAUACUUUUAUUACUUCAUGGAAGUAAUUAAAAUAUUUACCAGUUGAAUUACAAUCCUUAAUUAAUGGGAUUGAGGUUGAGUGUUGAUCUGAAUGGAUCACGUGACUCCCAUCAUUCACUUUACCUUAAGAAACCAAACCUGCUUCUACUUUUACCUAACUUUACAUACUCUACCCGACCCCAUUAGAUCUACCCUCAGCUUAAUGCUAAAUUAUUCUUGCAUCAGAUCUGUAACAAUAAAAAUGUAAAUGGAGUAAGGUGAGAAGUAAGUACCACGUCAGUAGCUGAUGGUGCCGGAGAUACACCAGUGGUGGUGACGGCCGGAGAAGGUGCUCCAGUAGGUGGUGCUGGUGGGCUCGAAGUUAAGGGAGAUGGUGCAGCCGAUGGAGUCACGACUGGGGAAGAGACUGGGACGGGAGCUGGUGGUGGUGAAGCUGCAGGAGGAGGAGUGGCUGCUGGUGGUGGUGACGCGACAGGAGGGGGAGUGGCUACAGGUGGUGGUGAGGCAACAGGAGGUGGAGUGGCUACAGGUGGUGGUGAGGAUACAGGAGGUGGAGUGGCUACAGGUGGUGGUGAGCUGACUGGCGGAGGAGUGGCAACGGGUGGAGGAGUUGAGACAGGUGGCGAUGCGACGGUUGGUGGUGGNNNNNNNNNNNNNNNNNNNNNNNNNNNUGGUGGAGUGGUGGUGGUUGGGGUGGCGGUGGGGGAGGAGGAAGGUGAUUGAGCGGCGACGGAAGAGAAGAUAAUGCAGAUGAGGGCAGUGAGGAGGGCAGCGUUGCGAUCCAUGAUUGAUUUAAUUUAAGCUUGGAAUUGGAUUUGGAUGAACGACAAGAAGAAUGUGUUAUGUGUGUGAGUGAUGGUGAGAGAGUAAGAGGUGUCUGGUUUAUUAUAUAGCGGACUUGUAUGAGG